rnacentral:rRNA from 1 species
CUGGCGGCGUGCCUAAUGCAUGCAAGUCGCACGCAGUCGCUUCGGCGGCUGAGUGGCGCACGGCUGAGGAACACGUGGGUACCUGCCCUGCAGUGGGGGAUAACAGCGCGAAAGCGCUGCUAAUCCCGCAUACGGUCGCUAACGCGAAGAAAGUCGCAAGGCGCUGCGGGAGGGACCUGCGGCCUAUCAGGUUGUUGGUGUGGUAACGGCGCACCAAGCCGAUGACGGGUAGCUGGUCUGUGAGGACGAUCAGCCAGACUGGGACUGAGACACGGCCCAGACUCCUACGGGAGGCAGCAGCAAGGAAUUUUCCCUAUUGGGCGCAAGCCUGAGGGAGCAACGCCGCGUGCAGGACGACGGCUUUCGGGUUGUAAACUGCUUUUGGGGGGGAAGAUGAUGACGGUACCCCCCGAAUAAGCCCCGGCUAACUCUGUGCCAGCAGCCGCGGUAAUACAGAGGGGGCAAGCGUUGUCCGGACUGACUGGGCGUAAAGCGCACGCAGGCGGUUGUGGGCGUCGGUGCUGAAAGUCCACUGCUUAACAGUGGGAUGCGUGCCGAUACGCCAUAACUGGAGCGAUGCAGAGGCCAGUGGAAUUGCCGGUGUAGUGGUGAAAUGCGUAGAGAUCGGCAGGAACACCCAAGGGGAAGCCAGCUGGCUGGGCAUUUGCUGACGCUCAUGUGCGACAGCGUGGGGAGCGAACUGGAUUAGAUACCCAGGUAGUCCACGCCGUAAACGAUGGAUGCUCGGUGUCUGGUGGGUAAUCAGUCCCGCUGGGCGCCUCAGCUAACGCGCAAGCAUCCCGCCUGGGAAACUACGAGCGCAAGCUUAAAACUCAAAGGAAUUGACGGGGGCCCGCACAAGCAGCGGAGCGUGUGGUUUAAUUCGACGCGACGCGCAGAACCUUACCUAGCCUUGACAUGUGUCUGCAAGCCGCUGAAAGGCGGUCGCCUUCGAGGGUGACACACCGGUGCUGCAUGGCUGUCGUCAGCUCGUGUCAUGAGAUGUUGGGUUAAGUCCCGCAACGAGCGCAACCCUCGUCCUUAGUUGCCACCAUUCAGUUGGGCACUCUAGGGAGACUGCCGGCGUUAAGCCGGAGGAAGGUGGGGACGACGUCAAGUCAUCAUGGCCCUUAUGUCCAGGGCCACACACGUGCUACAAUGGGCGGUACAAAGGGUCGCAAACCCGCGAGGGGGAGCCAAUCCCAAAAAGCCGCUCUCAGUUCGGAUUGGAGUCUGCAACUCGACUCCAUGAAGUUGGAAUCGCUAGUAAUCGCGGAUCAGCACGCCGC